GGGUUGUGAGGUUAAGCGACUAAGCGUACACGGUGGAUGCCCUGGCAGUCAGAGGCGAUGAAGGACGUGCUAAUCUGCGAUAAGCGUCGGUGAGGUGAUAUGAACCGUUAUAACCGGCGAUUUCCGAAUGGGGAAACCCAGUGUGUUUCGACACACUAUCAUUAACUGAAUCCAUAGGUUAAUGAGGCGAACCGGGGGAACUGAAACAUCUAAGUACCCCGAGGAAAAGAAAUCAACCGAGAUUCCCCCAGUAGCGGCGAGCGAACGGGGAGGAGCCCAGAGCCUGAAUCAGUGUGUGUGUUAGUGGAAGCGUCUGGAAAGGCGUGCGAUACAGGGUGACAGCCCCGUACACAAAAAUGCACAUAUUGUGAGCUCGAUGAGUAGGGCGGGACACGUGGUAUCCUGUCUGAAUAUGGGGGGACCAUCCUCCAAGGCUAAAUACUCCUGACUGACCGAUAGUGAACCAGUACCGUGAGGGAAAGGCGAAAAGAACCCCGGCGAGGGGAGUGAAAAAGAACCUGAAACCGUGUACGUACAAGCAGUGGGAGCCUCUUAAUGGGGUGACUGCGUACCUUUUGUAUAAUGGGUCAGCGACUUAUAUUCUGUAGCAAGGUUAACCGAAUAGGGGAGCCGAAGGGAAACCGAGUCUUAACUGGGCGUUAAGUUGCAGGGUAUAGACCCGAAACCCGGUGAUCUAGCCAUGGGCAGGUUGAAGGUUGGGUAACACUAACUGGAGGACCGAACCGACUAAUGUUGAAAAAUUAGCGGAUGACUUGUGGCUGGGGGUGAAAGGCCAAUCAAACCGGGAGAUAGCUGGUUCUCCCCGAAAGCUAUUUAGGUAGCGCCUCGUGAAUUCAUCUCCGGGGGUAGAGCACUGUUUCGGCAAGGGGGUCAUCCCGACUUACCAACCCGAUGCAAACUGCGAAUACCGGAGAAUGUUAUCACGGGAGACACACGGCGGGUGCUAACGUCCGUCGUGAAGAGGGAAACAACCCAGACCGCCAGCUAAGGUCCCAAAGUCAUGGUUAAGUGGGAAACGAUGUGGGAAGGCCCAGACAGCCAGGAUGUUGGCUUAGAAGCAGCCAUCAUUUAAAGAAAGCGUAAUAGCUCACUGGUCGAGUCGGCCUGCGCGGAAGAUGUAACGGGGCUAAACCAUGCACCGAAGCUGCGGCAGCGACACUAUGUGUUGUUGGGUAGGGGAGCGUUCUGUAAGCCUGUGAAGGUGGCCUGUGAGGGUUGCUGGAGGUAUCAGAAGUGCGAAUGCUGACAUAAGUAACGAUAAAGCGGGUGAAAAGCCCGCUCGCCGGAAGACCAAGGGUUCCUGUCCAACGUUAAUCGGGGCAGGGUGAGUCGACCCCUAAGGCGAGGCCGAAAGGCGUAGUCGAUGGGAAACAGGUUAAUAUUCCUGUACUUGGUGUUACUGCGAAGGGGGGACGGAGAAGGCUAUGUUGGCCGGGCGACGGUUGUCCCGGUUUAAGCGUGUAGGCUGGUUUUCCAGGCAAAUCCGGAAAACCAAGGCUGAGGCGUGAUGACGAGGCACUACGGUGCUGAAGUGACAAAUGCCCUGCUUCCAGGAAAAGCCUCUAAGCAUCAGGUAACAUCAAAUCGUACCCCAAACCGACACAGGUGGUCAGGUAGAGAAUACCAAGGCGCUUGAGAGAACUCGGGUGAAGGAACUAGGCAAAAUGGUGCCGUAACUUCGGGAGAAGGCACGCUGAUAUGUAGGUGAAGCGACUUGCUCGUGGAGCUGAAAUCAGUCGAAGAUACCAGCUGGCUGCAACUGUUUAUUAAAAACACAGCACUGUGCAAACACGAAAGUGGACGUAUACGGUGUGACGCCUGCCCGGUGCCGGAAGGUUAAUUGAUGGGGUUAGCGGUAACGCGAAGCUCUUGAUCGAAGCCCCGGUAAACGGCGGCCGUAACUAUAACGGUCCUAAGGUAGCGAAAUUCCUUGUCGGGUAAGUUCCGACCUGCACGAAUGGCGUAAUGAUGGCCAGGCUGUCUCCACCCGAGACUCAGUGAAAUUGAACUCGCUGUGAAGAUGCAGUGUACCCGCGGCAAGACGGAAAGACCCCGUGAACCUUUACUAUAGCUUGACACUGAACAUUGAGCCUUGAUGUGUAGGAUAGGUGGGAGGCUUUGAAGUGUGGACGCCAGUCUGCAUGGAGCCGACCUUGAAAUACCACCCUUUAAUGUUUGAUGUUCUAACGUUGGCCCGUAAUCCGGGUUGCGGACAGUGUCUGGUGGGUAGUUUGACUGGGGCGGUCUCCUCCUAAAGAGUAACGGAGGAGCACGAAGGUUGGCUAAUCCUGGUCGGACAUCAGGAGGUUAGUGCAAUGGCAUAAGCCAGCUUGACUGCGAGCGUGACGGCGCGAGCAGGUGCGAAAGCAGGUCAUAGUGAUCCGGUGGUUCUGAAUGGAAGGGCCAUCGCUCAACGGAUAAAAGGUACUCCGGGGAUAACAGGCUGAUACCGCCCAAGAGUUCAUAUCGACGGCGGUGUUUGGCACCUCGAUGUCGGCUCAUCACAUCCUGGGGCUGAAGUAGGUCCCAAGGGUAUGGCUGUUCGCCAUUUAAAGUGGUACGCGAGCUGGGUUUAGAACGUCGUGAGACAGUUCGGUCCCUAUCUGCCGUGGGCGCUGGAGAACUGAGGGGGGCUGCUCCUAGUACGAGAGGACCGGAGUGGACGCAUCACUGGUGUUCGGGUUGUCAUGCCAAUGGCACUGCCCGGUAGCUAAAUGCGGAAGAGAUAAGUGCUGAAAGCAUCUAAGCACGAAACUUGCCCCGAGAUGAGUUCUCCCUGACUCCUUGAGAGUCCUGAAGGAACG
rnacentral:rRNA from 1 species